UGGAGGCCGAGAAAAUUAAGGCCAUCCCCCCUCAGGUUUCGCCUUAGCAGAAGUACAGCGUCUUAGCUCCGGCAACCAUCUCAGGACCGUGUGCCCAAGGGCUGAACUUGCCCCUACUUUACUUUUGUUCCAGGGCCCCCCACGCUGCUUUAGUUCCAAGAAAGUACCCCACGCUGCAACACCCCGGCAACAGCUAAUCAGCUUACUGCAGAAAAGUCUGAAACUUCUCCCCGCCCCAAGCCUCAUGGCUGAUGGCAAAAUUUCUCUAGUCAAUGAUGAAGGACACGCCAUGAUGGUUUGGAAAACCUGGGGGUUCUUCUGAUCAGAAACAUUGUCCUCUGAAGGAAGGUUAGUGCCCCCUGGUCUCUGAUAGGAAGCUGCUCAGCAAGCCCUUUCUUCAUUUAAGGGUCUGUAAUAAUUUAACUCAGCUCACCCAUUAUUACAAAAGGUGCGUAAUGAAGCCGUG
rnacentral:lncRNA from 1 species